rnacentral:rRNA from 1 species
CAACUUUCAACAGUGGAUGUCUAGGCUCGCACAUCGAUGAAGAACGCUGCGAACUGCGAUACGUAAUGCGAAUUCAGAAUUCAGUGAGUAUCGAAAUUUUGAACGCAUAUUGCACUUUCGGGUUAGUCCUGGAAGUAUGUCUGUAUCAGUGUCCGUU